rnacentral:rRNA from 1 species
CGUGCUUAACACAUGCAAGUCGAACGAUGACCCCCAGCUUGCUGGGGUGAUUAGUGGCGAACGGGUGAGUAACACGUGAGUAACCUGCCCCUGACUCUGGGAUAAGCCCGGGAAACUGGGUCUAAUACUGGAUAUGCACCGUAAGCCGCAUGGCUUUUGGUGGAAAGAUUUUUUGGUCAGGGAUGGACUCGCGGCCUAUCAGCUUGUUGGUGAGGUAAUGGCUCACCAAGGCGACGACGGGUAGCCGGCCUGAGAGGGUGACCGGCCACACUGGGACUGAGACACGGCCCAGACUCCUACGGGAGGCAGCAGUGGGGAAUAUUGCACAAUGGGCGAAAGCCUGAUGCAGCGACGCCGCGUGAGGGAUGACGGCCUUCGGGUUGUAAACCUCUUUCAGUAGGGAAGAAGCGAAAGUGACGGUACCUGCAGAAGAAGCGCCGGCUAACUACGUGCCAGCAGCCGCGGUAAUACGUAGGGCGCAAGCGUUAUCCGGAAUUAUUGGGCGUAAAGAGCUCGUAGGCGGUUUGUCGCGUCUGCCGUGAAAGUCCGAGGCUCAACCUCGGAUCUGCGGUGGGUACGGGCAGACUAGAGUGAUGUAGGGGAGACUGGAAUUCCUGGUGUAGCGGUGAAAUGCGCAGAUAUCAGGAGGAACACCGAUGGCGAAGGCAGGUCUCUGGGCAUUAACUGACGCUGAGGAGCGAAAGCAUGGGGAGCGAACAGGAUUAGAUACCCUGGUAGUCCAUGCCGUAAACGUUGGGCACUAGGUGUG